rnacentral:rRNA from 1 species
UACGUAGGGUGCAAGCGUUAAUCGGAAUUACUGGGCGUAAAGCGUGCGCAGGCGGUUUGUAAGUUCUGUCGUGAAAUCCCCGGGCUCAACCUGGGAACUGCAUUUGUGACUGCAUCGCUGGAGUGCGGCAGAGGGGGAUGGAAUUCCGCGUGGUAGCAGGUGAAAUGCGUAGAUAUGCGGAGGAACACCGAUGGCGAAGGCAAUCCCCUGGGCCUGCACUGACGCUCCAUGCACGAAAGCGUGGGGAGCAAACAGGA